rnacentral:lncRNA from 1 species
GGAAGCCAUUAUAAAUGUGCCGCCGAAGAAACUCUAUUUCUUUUACAAUCAAGAUGCACAUGACAAAUCACUCAUUAGUUCCUGGGUUCCGUAAGUGUUUAAUUUGCUCUAACUUCAAAAUCCCCACUCUAGUCAUUGUGCGAUGUCUUAUCUCCUAUUCUAUUUUGUAUCAUGCAGGAUGAAGGUUCAAACUUGUCGGAGGAAAGGAUACUCUGACAUCGACUUCAUGGACCCGGAUGUUAUAAACUGUAAGAGAUAAACCAAAUCAGACCUUGAAGAAUAUAUAUAAAAGUUCUUGGACAAUCAACAUUACAAGAAGUACAUACUUCUGCCGAC